rnacentral:rRNA from 1 species
CCCUUAGAUGUUCUGGGCCGCACACGCGCUACACUGAAGGAGGCAGCGUGUACUCCUGGAUCGAAAGAUUUGGGUAACCCGCGAAUCUCCUUCGUGCUAGGGAUUGAGGUUUGCAAUUAUCCUUCAUGAACGAGGAAUUCACAGUAAGUGCAAGUCAUAAGCUUGCGCUGACUACGUCCCUGCCCUUUGUACACACCGCCCGUCGCUACUACCGAUUGAAUGAUUUAGUGAGGACUUCGGACUGGGACCGAUGCGGCUUUCGGGCUGCGUCGGUAUUCUGGAAAGAUGUCCAAACUGUAUCAUUUAGAGGAAGUAAAANUCGUAACA